GCUACAGUUGUUUAGGUAUCAAUGGUAAAAAUGAAGUUUCACGAACAGGAAGCCUACCAGUAGUAUGGUAUGCAUGCAACGGUAGUACCGGUAGUCAUAAAUAAUUUAACCUUUUAUGGUAAGAAAAUUGAACUUCAGUGUGUAACUGGAAGGCACAUGAUCAAUGAAUAAAUGGUAUUCUACAAGAUCAAGGUAGGAUUAAAUUUCAUGUGGAACUAACCACUUCAUACAGAACAUGGAAAAAGCAAAGGUACUCUGGAUCACUGGAUCAAGUCGACAGUGGAGCUGGCAAAGGCGAAGAAAGUUCUGGAUCCACUUUAAUCGGAUGAAAAGGCAGCAGAAUGUGUUCACCUUGUCUUGGAGAAUACUCGGAUCUUUUGCACUGUAGAGCAGGCAAGCAUCAUCAGCAAACAAUUUGCUCAAGAAAUUGGAGCAGUUAGACAGAUCAUUUAUGUAAAUUAAGAAACCAAGAGGACCUAACACACUACCUUGAGGAAUUCCGUGAUGAAUGGGCAACAUCGGAGACUGCUAGAUGACGCUAUUGCGUCAUUUUUUAUGUCUGUUCUGCCAACCAAUCAAAUCAAGUGAUGCCCAUGUACAAUAAUGAUAAUAUACGGCUUUGAGUCUAGAUUUUACAUCUCUUCUGGAUCGCAUCUCUACGAUUGAAUAUGACAACGUGUAGUAGAAUUACAGGCAGUUGAAAAAUUACUGGGUAACGACUGCGCCACAAAUCUAAAUAUGCUACGAAAUCAAGAAAAAUAAAGGUUGAAAAAGGAAAAAUAGUGAAUCAAAGUUACAAGCAAGGCUCCCUCUAAGUUGCGCAACUGCGCCAUUGCGCAUUACCACCAGACCAUUUGCGCAGUGAAAUUGCAUUCUCGCUCACCUGUAACAUCACGUUUUUAAAGCGUGGCUUGCCAUACUUUCAAACGCAUCGCUAAAAUGCCCGUUUCAUGUUCACUAGUAUUUUCGUUACCACUGUUUAUUGUGAAGUCACACAUGUAUCUGUUACGUCCAAGUACCUGGGUUUCUCCUGAAUCAUCUGGAAAGAGCUAUUUCAAAAGCCAAGCAUGCAAUGCCAGCAAUAAACACCGACAAAGUGUAUAAACAUUAAAAAAAAAUGAUAACAAAGAAUUGCUUUUUGGGUUAAAUGUGUUAAUCAUUUGGGACUCUGCUCAGCCCUAAAAUAUUCAUGUUCACUGAAAUAAACAAUUGCGAAGUGUAAUAUUUUCUUGGAGGGAACACUGGUUACAAAGCUCAUAAAUGUCAGUAUGAUACACACAAAAGGUUAUUUAUACAUUAUAGAUGUUAAAUUCUGUUAUCAGAUGCGCGACUAUUUGAAAGGUACUGAAGGCAUCGUUAAACCUAAUUGGUUCAGAUAUUUAUUUCCAUUGUCCAGAAAUCAAUGCAAAAAAAUAAACAUACAUAAAAAAACUAACAAAAAAGGAAAAUAUUGACUCGUAGCAAUUUAUUAGGGGUCGCUAAAGACUCAGUGAAUCAUCCAGUCAGCGACACAUUGAUACUGAUUUCAAGCAGAAAAUAGCGAAAAAACAAUUUUAAUUUAACUCGAAAUAUAAAAUCAUUAAAAGAACAACAGAAUAAUAACAGGAACUAGAGGAAUGAAACGAACCAUUAUGCUUUAUUUCGUAUAGAUGGCAAUGAGUUACCCCAUGGGCAAAAUCUUUCCAACUCCAAGAAACGUUAAAUAU